rnacentral:lncRNA from 1 species
AUAGUUACCAUUGUACAUGUGUGUAAUUAGAUUUAAAAUUUAUCCUCUUAACAAAUUAUCACUAUACAAUAUUGUUUAACUGUCAUUACCCUGUUGUACAUUGAAACUCCAGGAAUUAUUUAUCUUUGCUAAUUCUUCUUUAUUCUUCUUUUUGCUUCAUACAAUAGAUAAUCUCAAUUAACCUUCCUUCAAGUUUGCUUAUUCUUUGUUCUGUUGUUGAACCACUCUAAUUAACUUUUCAUUGCAGUAAUUGUACUUUUCAGCUUCAGAAUUUCUAUUAGGUUGUUUCUUAUAUUUUGUAUAGCUUUAUUGAUAUUCUCUAUAUGGUGACACAUCAUUCUUCUGGUUUCCUUUAGUUCUUUGUCCAUGGUUCCCUUUUAACUCUUUGAACAUAUGUUAAGACAGUUGAUUUAAAGUCUUUGUCUGGUAAGUCCAGUGUCUGGGCUUCUUCAGGGACUGUUUCUAUACAUUUCUUAUUUUCCUGCAAAUGGGCCGUAAUUUCUUGCUUCUUUGCAUGUGUCAUAACAUUUUGUGGCAAAGUGGAUAUUUUGAAUAAUAUGACAACUUUGGAAAUCAGAUUCUCCUUCUUCUCCAGAGUUUGUUGUUGCUGCUUGUUGUAGUUUGUUGUUGUUUAACACUUUAAUGGUUUAGACACUUCUCUAAACCAUUUUUGUUAAAGCUAUAUUCCUUGUCAUUGGCCACUGAAGUUUUGUUAUUUUAGCUUAGUGGUCAGCUAGUGAUUUGAAGAGAUUUCCUGAAAUAGUGAGAGCCAAAAGUAUAAAAUACUCUCCCAGUCUUUGCAGGUUGGCUUUGCAUGAGGAACUCCUUCAAUGCUUGGCCAGGUUGUUUAAAACUCUGCCUUAACCUUCACUCCCUCCUUGUGUGGAGCCUAAAAGUUAGAUAGAUGUUAAAGAUUAGAGUCUUUUCAGGUGUCUCUGGGCAUAUGUCCAGCCUGGGCAUGUAUGUGACCUUCUGGAUUUCUUCAUAUAUACAGAAGCUUUUCAAAGUCAUCAUUUCUCCAUGUAUCUCCAUGUGUGCUCUCUUUCUUCCCAGACUUUUCUUGUUGCUUGUUGCUUGCUCCAACUGUCAUCCUUUGUCUCAGGUGGCUAAGGCUAAUACAUUUGCUUUUACAUGCUUUCAACAAACACCAUCUGGAAACUGCUUAUGCCUUGGAGAAAGUUUGAGUCAGGUAAAAGAAAAGCAAGCCCUUGUGCCAACCCUUCAGGGAGCCCAGACAGAUCAAAACACACCACCAUGAUUCCUUGAAAAUAAGUCCAUAUUUCUCCCUCUGAUGCCAGCAACCUGCAUCUGGAAUGUGAGCUGCUGUCUUAGCUGCUACCAAGCUGAUGAUGGGGCAUGGUAAGCAGAAAAUGCAUUUUAGAAGAAAAUGAGUCUCUGAUCUCAGGAUUUGUCUGAUCUCUCACGAUUGGGAUGGCCCAUUCCUAGAGGGGGAGAAGACCUGGAAAACACUGCUAGACCAACUCAAAAUUACAAAGUUUUCCAGAGCUUAUAUGUCUUCUAAGCCAUAUGUCUAUGUCUGCAGGAAUGUAGACAAUUCAGAGGCUUUGUUCCCCAUAAUUUGGAACUUUUCUUCAGAUUUGACCAAGUCGGGUAGAGAUGAUCAAACCUAAUGGGAAAAAGACUGAAACAACAAAAACAGAAACAGGCAAACACAACCAGUAGCUCUGGUGGCCUUUACCUCAGGCUUUGAUGACAGACAGAGGAACCAACAAUCUAACCUGAUGCCUGCCUCUCCCCACGCCAGUGCUGAGGAGCUCCUGCAGAGAAAGCCUGCUCUUCCAGCCCUUGUAUUCAGGACAGGUGCCGGGUGGUCCCUCAAGACCCUUUUUCAGCAGUAAAUCCUACCUGCUUUCACUGAGUUCUCACUAAGUUUAUUUGGUUUAAUCUAGGUUGUCUGAGGUUCCACAACUCAUAACUGAUUUUGUGUUCUAUUUCUGGCCAGCAACUUCCUUGACAUUAUGGAAACUUGAGUUGGGUGGAGUUGUCAGAUUUGAUUUAUUGGCUAUUUUGUUUCUCUUGAAUACGACAGGAGAAGGGAAGCAACAGCUCAUAUCUCCUUGGCUUACCUUCAUACAUAUUAGGGCAUAGUCAUGGGUAAGUAGGUCUUUCAGCAGUAAAAGGAACUCCUGUGUCUGUCCUGAGUUAAGCACAGUGACUAUAAUUUUGACACAGGUAAUACCUCCCACCCACCCUUAUAAGAACCAAGGCUUCUGAUAUGUAGGCUUAUUACAGCCCUAGCUGCUGUGCCUAUGUGUAAAGUGGCAGGCUUUUAUUUACACUAAAUGUAUUUCAGAAUUAUAGAAGCGCCUUCAGAGAAAUCUUAAUUCAACAUGGUUUUAACAUUUGUAUGGAGUGACAGAAGAAAAACAAAACUUUAAUUCUCCAUUAGUCAGUUUUUUCAGUUGGUCACCAAAUUUGGCAUUCUGUGUAUACACUAGGAAUAUUUAGUCUUAGAAGAAAUUUUAACACAAAAUAUUACCAGGUUAAUGAAUUUAUUUAUAAAAUAUUUUAAAUCUAAGGUGCUCCUGCACUGAUAGGUUUAUAGAGACUAAUGGGCACUGACACAAAUUUAAAAUUUAAAAACUCGAGAAUAACUAAAUUAAAAAAAAAAAAUCAGGCCAGGUGUAGCGGCUCA